CCUACGGGUGGCUGCAGUGAGGAAUAUUGGUCAAUGGGCGGAAGCCUGAACCAGCCAAGUAGCGUGCAGGAUGACGGCCCUACGGGUUGUAAACUGCUUUUAUACGGGAAUAACGCGCCUUACGUGUAGGGCUUUGCAUGUACCGUAUGAAUAAGGACCGGCUAAUUCCGUGCCAGCAGCCGCGGUAAUACGGAAGGUCCGGGCGUUAUCCGGAUUUAUUGGGUUUAAAGGGUGCGUAGGCGGGUUAUCAAGUCAGCGGUAAAAUCGUGGAGCUCAACUCCAUCCAGCCGUUGAAACUGAUGAUCUUGAGUGGGCGAGAAGUAUGCGGAAUGCGUGGUGUAGCGGUGAAAUGCAUAGAUAUCACGCAGAACUCCGAUUGCGAAGGCAGCAUACCGGCGCCCGACUGACGCUGAAGCACGAAAGCGUGGGUAUCGAACAGGAUUAGAUACCCUAGUAGUC
rnacentral:rRNA from 1 species